rnacentral:rRNA from 1 species
CUUGACAUACAUAAGAGGUCCAGCCUGCCCAGUGACUAAGUUCAACGGCCGCGGUAUCCUAACCGUGCGAAGGUAGCGUAAUCACUUGUUCUUUAAAUGAGGACUAGUAUGAAUGGCACCACGAGGGUUAUACUGUCUCCUUUUUUUAAUCAAUGAAACUGAUCUCCCCGUGAAGAAGCGGGGAUAAAUUUAUAAGACGAGAAGACCCUAUGGAGCUUUAAACAAUUAUAGCACUGGCCCACACCUCUUAUUCUUCUGAGAUAUAAUUAUCAUACAGGCCAACAUGACUAUUAGUUUUAGGUUGGGGUGACCGCGGAGCAAAAAUUAACCUCCACGUUGAACGGAGCUACUCCUGAGCUAAAAACUACAACUUUAAGCACCAAUAAACUGACAUCAAUUGACCCAAUACAUUGAACAACGAAC